GAACAAGAGUAAUCAAGCUAUGACUUCUAAUCUAAAAGCUUACUGCAAUGUUUGUUACUUGUUUG
rnacentral:tRNA from 1 species